GGACCAUAGCUCAGUGUCAGAGCAUCAGAUUUGCACGCAGAGGGUCCCAGGUUCGAUACCUGGCAUCUCUG